rnacentral:tRNA from 1 species
UAGCUCAGUUGGUUAGAGCAUCUGACUGUUAAUCAGAGGGUCCUUGGUUCGAGCCC